rnacentral:rRNA from 1 species
AAACCAGCACCUCAAGUGGUCAGGAUGAUUAUUGGGCCUAAAGCAUCCGUAGCCGGCUCUGUACGUUUUCGGUUAAAUCUGUACGCUUAACGUACAGGCUGCCGGGAAUACUGCAGAGCUAGGGAGUGGGAGAGGUAGACGGUACUCGGGAGGAAGUGGUAAAAUGCUUUGAUCUCUCGAUGACCACCUGUGGCGAAGGCGGUCUACCAGAACACGUCCGACGGUGAGGGAUGAAAGCUGGGGGAGCAAACCGGAUUAGAAACCCUAGUAGUCC